ensembl:lncRNA
GGGGAACCAAGGCAGUCUGGGGUCUAGAAGCAUACUAUGUGUUGGCCAAAUCAAGAAACAACUCUCAAGGUUCCUCUCAGCUAUAAAAAUCUGUGGUUCUUUCUGGUUGUUGGUUUUUUGGUUUUUUUUUUUUUCCUGUUAUUUUCUCUCCUCUGCCCACCCCCUCCCAAGGCUCCCUCUCCUUUUCUCCUGUCCUUUCCCUGACUUGUAUAUUCCCUUGGCUCUCGCAGUUUCUCCCUCUGUGUCUUUUCUCAGUCUUGUUUGGCCUCCGUCACCAUGUCUCCUGUGUUUGCUCCUGAGCACAGUUUCUGUCUGUAUUUCUCACGCUCCUUCUCUCUUUGGACUCUCUCGCCGUCUCUCUUACCAUGUCCCUGCUCUCCUUUUUUCUCUUCUCCUCCUCCUCUUCCUCUCCCUCUUGCUCUCAUGCAUUCUUACCAACCAUGACUAAACAAACACUUUUGUGGUAGUGGAAUAUGUUUUCAGUAACUCCCCGUUGGUCUUGGCUUUUGCAGGAAUCCGACAAGCCAGGCUCUGUGCCUUCUCCACGCUUUGUGGAGAACUGUGGACAGAGCUACAGGAGCCUGCAGCUGGGAGACCCAGACUUCAGGGGACGUGCCAGUCACUACCCACCCCCCCACCGCCCCCCGCCGCCCCCAUCACUUCCAGCCUGUGCCUCUGUCCCCGUAGGAAUAGUGGCUGAGAUCUUCACGCCUUUCAGCAGACAGCCUGCAGAAAGGGAAGCUGGUCUGGGCUCAGGUCUUCCUUUCCAACGGACUGACAGAGCAAAGGAUGUGGAAUUUGAAGGCAAAAGUCACCCUGAUCAAACGGUAUGGAUUACCCAAUAACACAGCACUGAGGUCAGCCUCUGGAAGCAAUUGAAGAUGGCCCCGGGGAUCUGAGAUUCCAAACCCCACAGGCAAGCAGAAGUGUUCCCUCCCACACUGGGCCACCUCCCUUCCUGAGCAAUUCUGCCCCGAUUCUGUGGGUAAAAGCAGCUGUGCUUUCUGCAGAGUUCCGACAGAUGCCAAGCACAUUGUAGGUCUUAACACCAGGGAGGAUGCUCCAUCUAUACGGAGCGCCCAUUGAGUGAGAGGCGAGAGUCACCGUGUCUUUCCUCCUCGCAACAACCCUAGGUGAGACACACAUGCUUACUAUGCACAUUUGGUAUCCAUGGAAGCUGAGGCCCACAGAGGCACCUUGCCCGGGGUCAUACACAGGUGACAAAGCAGAGACGAAACCCAACCUGACUGAUUCUUUCUGACGGAGCCAGUCCGUUGAAAUCAACACCAGGUGAUUAGUAGAAGAUGUGUAAUUUUCUUUCUUUCUUUUUUUUUUAAAUAUAAAGCAUUUCCCUCAUAUAAUGAAGACGGAUUACUCGCAUUUUAAAAGGGAGCAACCAGGGGCACCUGGGUGGCUCAGUCGGUUAAGUGGCCAACUUCAGCUCAGGUCAUGAUCUCACUGCUCCUGAGUUUGAGCCCCGCGUCAGGCUCUGUGCUGACAGCUCGGAGCCCGGAGCCGCUUUGGAUUCUGUGUGUCCCUCUUCCUCUUUACCCCUCCCCUACUCAUGCUCUGUCUCCCUCUGUCUCAAAAAUAAAUAAACAUUAAAAAAGAUUUUUUUUUAAGGG